rnacentral:lncRNA from 1 species
AAGUCAAAAUCUCUACUAAUUUUUUCCAAUCUCAUCUAAUCCAUGUGAUAUAGGAAUAACCGAACAAAACCUUAGCGGACAGGGAUGGGAGCAAUUUAAUCUCCACGGGGAUUGAAACAGCAAAAAGUUAGUCCCUGUUAAAUAUAUAUUGGACGGAUGAUAUUUAUGUUUGGAACCAAGCUUGUAUCAUUAUUCAGUUUGUGUUCUUGAAUGUCUGGAUCACAGUCAUUGAUAAAUGACUUGUCAGCAUUUCACCUGCACAGGUCACCUUGAUCAGCAUUUUAAAAGUUCCAAUUUCUUCAUUCAGCUGUACUGCUGCCUGCUUGCGAGAAGUGAGCUAGUUCUUGGUCACUGGAAUGCCCUUCAGCGUCAGUAAAUAGUCACCUAUUCUCGUUACUGCUGUAGGUUCCAACGAUGAUUCAGGCGGUUUGUUCCACUUAUAUUGGCUUUCAAGGCUUGCUGGCUAACGGUAAUUUGUCAUUGUUUUAUGCGAAUAAGUUUGCUGCAAUGCUUUAGCACUGUGUAUAAUUAAGCUGUUUUGCUAAUAGGUUGAUAUCAUGGGGCCAUUGCAACAGAAAAAUACUUCAGUUGUGUUGAUUAGAUAUGCCAUCAGUUAGUCCAGUCGGUGCUGAUUAUGCUGAUACAUUCAUGACACGGUUAUAUUCAGCCAGUGUACCAUUUAUUAGUAGUUGUAUAGCAGGUACUCUGUUAGUCUUGCCCCUGUUCCCAAACAAACUCUUUUAGCGGUCACACUUGUUAGAUAUUA